rnacentral:rRNA from 1 species
GACGAACGCUGGCGGCGUGCUUAACACAUGCAAGUCGAACGGAAAGGCCCUGCUUUUGUGGGGUGCUCGAGUGGCGAACGGGUGAGUAACACGUGAGUAACCUGCCCUUGACUUUGGGAUAACUUCAGGAAACUGGGGCUAAUACCGGAUAGGAGCUCCUCCUGCAUGGUGUGGGUUGGAAAGUUUCGGCGGUUGGGGAUGGACUCGCGGCUUAUCAGCUUGUUGGUGGGGUAGUGGCUUACCAAGGCUUUGACGGGUAGCCGGCCUGUGAGGGUGACUGCCCACAUUAGGCCUGGGAUACGGCCCAGACUCCUACGUGAGGCAGCGGUGGGGAAUAUUGCACAAUGGGCGGAAGCGUGAUGCCGCAACGCCGCGUGCGGAAUGACGGCCUUAGGGUUGUAACCCGCUUUCGCCUGAGACUAAGCGUGAGUGACGGUAAUGGGUAAAGAAGCACCGGCUAACUACGUG